CCUACGGGGGGCUGCAGUGGGGAAUUUUGCGCAAUGGGCGAAAGCCUGACGCAGCAACGCCGCGUGGGUGAUGAAGGUCUUCGGAUCGUAAAACCCUGUCGUUGGGGACGAAGGUGGGGGCGUUAAUAGCGUUUCUGCUUGACGGUACCCGGAGAGGAAGCCCCGGCUAACUCUGUGCCAGCAGCCGCGGUAAUACAGAGGGGGCAAGCGUUAUUCGGAAUUAGUGGGCGUAAAGUUCGCGUAGGCGUGUGUCAUCCCCGAGCUCAACUUGGGAACUGCAUCUGAGACGGGAAGGCUAGAGUACUGGAGAGGGUGGUGGAAUUCCUCGUGUAGCGGUGAAAUGCGUAGAGAUGAGGAGGAACACCAGUGGCGAAGGCGGCCACCUGGACAGUAACUGACGCUGAGGCGCGAAAGUGUGGGUAGCAAACAGGAUUAGAUACCCCUGUAGUC
rnacentral:rRNA from 1 species